rnacentral:rRNA from 1 species
CCUACGGGGGGUUGCAGUGGGGAAUAUUGCACAAUGGGCGCAAGCCUGAUGCAGCGACGCCGCGUGAGCGAUGAAGGCCUUCGGGUAGUAAAGCUCUGUCCUAAGGGAAGAAUAAUGACGGUACCUUAGGAGGAAGCCCCGGCUAACUACGUGCCAGCAGCCGCGGUAAUACGUAGGGGGCGAGCGUUAUCCGGAAUCACUGGGCGGAAAGGGGGCGUAGGCGGCCCUGCAAGUCAGGAGUUAAAUCCCUCGGCACAACCGAGGUUAGCUCUUGAAACUGUAGGGCUUGAGUGCAGGAGAGGAGAGCGGAAUUCCUAGUGAAGCGGUGAAAUGCGUAGAUAUUAGGAGGAACCCCAGGGGCGAAGCCGGCUCUCUGCACUGCAACUGACGCUGAGGCACGAAAGCGUGGGGAGCGAAAAGGAUUAGAUACCCCGGUAGCC